rnacentral:rRNA from 1 species
ACUCCUACGGGAGGCAGCAGUGGGGAAUUUUCCGCAAUGGGCGAAAGCCUGACGGAGCAAUGCCGCGUGGAGGUAGAAGGCCCACGGGUCGUAAACUCCUUUUCUCAGAGAAGAAGCAAUGACGGUAUCUGAGGAAUAAGCAUCGGCUAACUCUGUGCCAGCAGCCGCGGUAAU